rnacentral:rRNA from 1 species
CACGUGAGCAACCUGCCCUGGACUCUGGGAUAAGCGCUGGAAACGGCGUCUAAUACUGGAUAUGAGCCUCUAUCGCAUGGUGGGGGUUGGAAAGAUUUUUUGGUCUGGGAUGGGCUCGCGGCCUAUCAGCUUGUUGGUGAGGUAAUGGCUCACCAAGGCGUCGACGGGUAGCCGGCCUGAGAGGGUGACCGGCCACACUGGGACUGAGACACGGCCCAGACUCCUACGGGAGGCAGCAGUGGGGAAUAUUGCACAAUGGGCGGAAGCCUGAUGCAGCAACGCCGCGUGAGGGAUGACGGCCUUCGGGUUGUAAACCUCUUUUAGCAGGGAAGAAGCGAGAGUGACGGUACCUGCAGAAAAAGCGCCGGCUAACUACGUGCCAGCAGCCGCGGUAAUACGUAGGGCGCAAGCGUUAUCCGGAAUUAUUGGGCGUAAAGAGCUCGUAGGCGGUUUGUCGCGUCUGCUGUGAAAUCCCGAGGCUCAACCUCGGGCCUGCAGUGGGUACGGGCAGACUAGAGUGCGGUAGGGGAGAUUGGAAUUCCUGGUGUAGCGGUGGAAUGCGCAGAUAUCAGGAGGAACACCGAUGGCGAAGGCAGAUCUCUGGGCCGUAACUGACGCUGAGGAGCGAAAGGGUGGGGAGCAAACAGGCUUAGAUACCCUGGUA